rnacentral:lncRNA from 1 species
UGCGUUUGAUACUGACAGGGAAAUUAUUUCUGAUGGUGAACUCACAAUGAAAUUAAAUUUCCCUAUCAAGCUAACCCUGUUGGUAUUUUUUGUCGGUUUGCCAUCAGAAAAUGGUUUCUCUAUCAGUAUUCGAUUUUUGUGUCAGUAUAUUCCUCAGUAGGUUCAGUUUUGGCGUUGUGGCUUCCUGAUGCUUCUCAGUCCUGAAUGUACUAUUUAAUUUAUAGGUCUCUUGCAUGCUCCAUGCAUUCUGCUUCAUCAUUUCAUUUACUGGCUAACAAACAGGCUAGUAUACCAUAUAGGAACUCGUCUAUGGGCU